rnacentral:ncRNA from 2 species
AGGAGCCGGAUGAGGUGAAAGUCUCACGUCCGGUUUUGAAGACGGGAAAGGGAGGCGACUCCCUGACCUAGUUCAAC